GACGAACGCUGGCGGCGUGCUUAACACAUGCAAGUCGAACGCUGAAGCUCAGCUUUUGUUGGGUGGAUGAGUGGCGAACGGGUGAGUAACACGUGAGUAACCUGCCCCCUUCUUUGGGAUAACGCCCGGAAACGGGUGCUAAUACUGGAUAUUCACUGGUCUUCGCAUGGGGGUUGGUGGAAAGGGUUUUUUUGGUGGGGGAUGGGCUCGCGGCCUAUCAGCUUGUUGGUGGGGUGAUGGCCUACCAAGGCUUUGACGGGUAGUCGGCCUGAGAGGGUGACCGGUCACAUUGGGACUGGGAUACGGCCCAGACUCCUACGGGAGGCAGCAGUGGGGAAUAUUGCAGAAUGGGGGCAAGCCUGAUGCAGCGACGCCGCGUGAGGGAUGGAGGCCUUCGGGUUGUGAACCUCUUUCGCUCAUGGUCAAGCCGCAACAAUGGUUGUGGUGAGGGUAGUGGGUAAAGAAGCGCCGGCUAACUACGUG
rnacentral:rRNA from 1 species